AUUUUGCCGACUAAAAUACCGUAAAUUUUCUUCGAGUGCAAGCUCUACGAAUUGCAUGCACUCACAUCGCUACCAAAUCGAAGCGAGUAUAAUGACCAGUCUCUCGCUAGAAGUCUCUAAACACAACAUGAAUCCCGCUUGCCCGCUCUCGCUCUGCAACGAUAAUCCUCGGGAACAAAGCUUGGCUCAGACAAUUGCACGGUACAGUCAUAGAGUGAAGGUGGUUUAUGGUCGUCCUUAAGAAGCCGAUCUGAAGUGCUCGAAAUAGAAGGUUUGUCGCAUCGCAUAUCACGAUUUGGCAGGUUACACCAAUAGCCCGCAAACAAAAGGGACCACCCGAUCUGUUCUCGGAUAACCGCAUGCAACGCGAGCACGUUUGACUUCAUUCCAAUCAAUACACCAAGUUCCCUAUGAGCUAUCGCAAGACUUGCACGUAACAUCCGUAUAGUUUGGAGAGAUAGAUUUGCUACGAGAGUUGCGAAUUCCAAGAAACAAGAGUUAUACGGCAUAAGCUAGUGAUCUCCGACGACAGAUUAAGCCACAACGAGACUCGGCUGCGUUGGAUUUAAGUAUCGAAAGAGUAAACACAAGACACCCAAAGGCCUUCGAAAGAGGGCCUUUAAUUUACAGGCUUGGGUGCUUCGGUCGUGCCACAGCAACGAGACUCUCUGAGCGUAGUGAUAGUAUCUAGGGACUGCAAAGGCAAGACCGAUUGAGCCGAAUUUACUGCAUUUCGUUCCCGCCAACCAUACGUGCGAUAGCGAGACCGCAAGGACACGAAGGAGCCGACUACACGAUCGUCGCAAUGCUUGCCGAUUAGGCAAGACAGAAAGGGAUCUAGCGCAACGGUGGCAGCGUGUGGAGUACAGUAAAGUCAACAUCAAGGGGCCCCCACCGAUAUGAAUAAGUUAAAGAUGUGAACUUUGUAAAGGGUGGCAAAAUGUAUGUAUGCCAAUAGAGUUAAGUUAGCAAUGUAACUUGAUUUUCUUAUGUUAAGCUGCACUCCCUUAUCGCAUUGUUUUGUGAGUCAUAUCGUUUUAAUUCAGUUGAGUUCGUUAAUUCCUCCUAGUUCCCUUACCGAAAUCUACUAUUGUAUCCUGGCACGGAAUAGCCCCUGCGUAGUUGGACAGAUUGCCAGAGGGCCAACUGAUUUUAAUGUAACGUUAGAUAGAGAGAGCAACAAUGAUAAGGAGUACCAUGAUAUUUUUCCGAGUGGAUAUGCUUUAGUUCACCCAACGGCAUACAGAUGGCAAGUUCAUAGACCUUUUUACGUACGAAUGUAUUAGUGCACCUAGUUGAGGAAAGUAUUUACAAAUCGCCUUUUUGUUUGCUAUGCUAUGUUUUUGGCAGCUUGACAAAUAUUCAGUUGAAUACUUAUUAUAAGCUCAAAAAUCGUUUCUGAAUGAAUUUUUAAUUCGUGAUCAUGAAUCGGGGGAAGCUGCCUGGUUUACGUGUUAUGACAGGGAUGCCAGACGUGAAGACAUGUCUUAAUAUUGAAAACAUUCGAGCGCAUGUGAAUAAGUGGAAGCCUAAUAGAGAUAAGUGACUUUUCACCUACGCACACUAAUGAACGUGUAAACUCAUGUAAAGUUGCUUUUGUUUCCUCCAAACUGUAAAUCAUCGCAUCUCGUUGCUCCGACUUUUUAUCACUUUUUACCAUUUUUGGUCGAUAAUGUUCAGCAGCUUCCCCCGAUUCAUGAUCACGAAUGAAAAAUUCAUUCAGAAACGAGUUUAGAACUUAUAAUAAGUAUUCAACUGAAUAUUUGUCCAGCUGCCAAAAACAUAGCAUAGCAAACAAAAAGGCGAUUUGUAAAUACUUUCCUCAACUAGGUGCACUAAUACAUUCGUACGUAAAAAGGUCUAUAGUCGAUUGAUUAACCGCACUCGAUUUAAUGUGUCACUGGAAGUUUUGUAAACAUUCAACGGGGACCGUGUUUACAGAUUUCCUAUGUAUAAAAACAUUGUUUUGUGGAGUGAGAAGAUUUUUGAAAAAUGACCUGGCCUCCCUGUGUUAUGAUUUCUUGACGGUAGGGUAUGUCUUGAAACCACUUACAGUUGUUAAAAUUCUAAAUCGAUUUUUUCAAUAGUUUUGCUGUUUAAAUUGAGAAAAAGUCAGAAGAUUAUGUAUUUCUUUUGAAAUUUCUUAUCAAAAGAAAAAAUAAUAUACAUACCCCUAAAACACCCUAUAGAGAUAAGUGACUUUUCACCUACGCACACUAAUGAACGUGUAAACUCAUGUAAAGUUGCUUUUGUUUCCUCCAAACUGUAAAUCAUCGCAUCUCGUUGCUCCGACUUUUUAUCACUUUUUACCAUUUUUGGUCGAUAAUGUUCAGCAGCUUCCCCCGAUUCAUGAUCGCGAAUGAAAAAUUCAUUCAGAAACGAGUUUAGAACUUAUAAUAAGUAUUCAACUGAAUAUUUGUCCAGCUGCCAAAAACAUAGCAUAGCAAACAAAAAGGCGAUUUGUAAAUACUUUCCUCAACUAGGUGUACUAAUACAUUCGUACGUAAAAAGGUCUAUAGACCAUUUUACGAACUGACAGGUGUCACGGAUUUUGCUGAUUUUGAUGAUGCUUUUAUGUGCGUUAUGUCAGCGGUUUCGUGCUUUCUGUCAAAAUUUCAUUCAUGAAUUCAGUUCAGAAACGUCUUGUAAAAUGGUCUAUUGCAUAUGAGAGUUCGCGUUGGUGCGAGCCAACUCGCUGACAUUGUUCAGACUACGCCGGAUAUCACCUGAUGUCGCCAGUUGAUAUCGGAUAUCACCUCGAGCGUUCACAUUAGAGUGAGCUGAUAUGAUUUGACAUUUGCUUUGGUAAUUGAAAAAAAAAGAAAACAAAAACUGGUCAAAGCUAAAACAAGACAACAAGAGCACUUUUCAACGGCCUUGUGUACCGAAAUGUCCGGUGUGGACACAGACGUAUUCGCAUCCGUCUCUGCCUUUUUCUGCGGAGACCGCUGGAUGCCUUUACGAGCAAAGGCCGCUAUCAUUGCCCAUAAUAUAGUAGUCGCCUAUGAGGUCCCAUGGUGGUCUUAGCCGGAGCAGUAUGGCGCCACCGACCGUUUAACGAUGGUAGACAAAACUAAAAAUACAAGAAAAACAAGGUUUUUUGACACCGAAAAACAUUUUCGUAUUUGUUUUAUUAUCCACCAUGUUAUGCGUUAUGUGUCGUUUGUCCAUUCACAGCAAAUCUAUAGAUAAUAUAGAUAUUCAUAGAACAUUUAUUCCAAGUGGUGUAGGAAAAGAAAAACCUGCCACCGGAUUUCAGGUUUUCCAGCGACGAUGAAAUAUCAUGUUUUGACCUGUCUAUUGCACUAGAUUUAGUUAUCUAUUUUUUUCUUCCGCCCUCUCUGUUAUAUUUUGCUUUUGGAAACAAUUCAUCA